CACAGAUAGAAGCUUGCUUAAGUAGAAGUAUAAUAUAUGCAAUAAAUCUGAAGAAAAUCACUAGCAUUGGUAACAGACUUGGCUCAUGGAGCACAAUAGCACCUACAGUUCUGUGGCCAAAAAUAAUGAAGUUUAAGAAGAAUUGACUGGAUUAUGGAAACAUUUCUAUAAAGCCAUGUGUGCAUCAGCAGAUGCCCACCACCUACUUAGGAACCGAUGGCACGAAAAGCCUGAAAGGAGGAUGCAGCCCUCUGGUUCUGAGACACAGAUGCAUUUAGAGGAGCUGAAAUCAGCUACAGAUCUAUUACCCCAAAUGGAAACUACUACAGUAGCCCAUGCAUUGCGGAGUGAGCACAGUGAGGCUGCACUGUUCUGAGAGCAAGAGUAGGAGGGGGCAUUUACUCAGAGGACAGCAUGUGCCAUCCCAUAUCAGAAGGGUACGGAUCUCUUACAGUUUACCUGUCUUUUUCAGUUUUCUAUCACAUGGGGCAGAAACUCAAUUCUGUGGAUGUGCAGCAGCAGUCUGCCAGCCAUGGAGAUCUUGCACAUCACGUGAGUCCACAUAAUUAUCCUCCCAUGUAUUUUUUCUUCUAGGCACUCAAAGAAACCACUCAUUAGAAAAAACACAGACUGCU
rnacentral:lncRNA from 1 species